rnacentral:rRNA from 1 species
UUGACCUCAAAUCGGGUGGGACUACCCGCUGAACUUAAGCAUAUCAAUAAGCGGAGGAAAAGAAACUAACAAGGAUUCCCCUAGUAACGGCGAGUGAAGAGGGAAAAGCUCAAAUUUUGAAUCUGGUGUCUUUGACCCCUGA